rnacentral:rRNA from 1 species
AGAGUUUGAUCCUGGCUCAGGACGAACGCUGGCGGCGCGCCUAACACAUGCAAGUCGAACGAGCGAGAGAGAGCUUGCUUUCUCGAGCGAGUGGCGAACGGGUGAGUAACGCGUGAGGAACCUGCCUCAAAGAGGGGGACAACAGUUGGAAACGACUGCUAAUACCGCAUAAGCCCACGACCCGGCAUCGGGUAGAGGGAAAAGGAGCAAUCCGCUUUGAGAUGGCCUCGCGUCCGAUUAGCUAGUUGGUGAGGUAACGGCCCACCAAGGCGACGAUCGGUAGCCGGACUGAGAGGUUGAACGGCCACAUUGGGACUGAGACACGGCCCAGACUCCUACGGGAGGCAGCAGUGGGGAAUAUUGCACAAUGGGGGAAACCCUGAUGCAGCGACGCCGCGUGGAGGAAGAAGGUUUUCGGAUUGUAAACUCCUGUCGUUAGGGACGAUAAUGACGGUACCUAACAAGAAAGCACCGGCUAACUACGUGCCAGCAGCCGCGGUAAAACGUAGGGUGCAAGCGUUGUCCGGAAUUACUGGGUGUAAAGGGAGCGCAGGCGGGAAGACAAGUUGGAAGUGAAAUCCAUGGGCUCAACCCAUGAACUGCUUUCAAAACUGUUUUUCUUGAGUAGUGCAGAGGUAGGCGGAAUUCCCGGUGUAGCGGUGGAAUGCGUAGAUAUCGGGAGGAACACCAGUGGCGAAGGCGGCCUACUGGGCACCAACUGACGCUGAGGCUCGAAAGUGUGGGUAGCAAACAGGAUUAGAUACCCUGGUAGUCCACACCGUAAACGAUGAUUACUAGGUGUUGGAGGAUUGACCCCUUCAGUGCCGCAGUUAACACAAUAAGUAAUCCACCUGGGGAGUACGACCGCAAGGUUGAAACUCAAAGGAAUUGACGGGGGCCCGCACAAGCAGUGGAGUAUGUGGUUUAAUUCGA